AACGAACGCUGGCGGCAGGCUUAACACAUGCAAGUCGAACGCCCCGCAAGGGGAGUGGCAGACGGGUGAGUAACGCGUGGGAAUCUACCCAGAUCUACGGAACAACAGUUGGAAACGACUGCUAAUACCGUAUACGCCCUACGGGGGAAAGAUUUAUCGGAUUUGGAUGAGCCCGCGUUGGAUUAGCUAGUUGGUGGGGUAAUGGCCUACCAAGGCGACGAUCCAUAGCUGGUCUGAGAGGAUGAUCAGCCACGCUGGGACUGAGACACGGCCCAGACUCCUACGGGAGGCAGCAGUGGGGAAUAUUGGACAAUGGGCGCAAGCCUGAUCCAGCCAUGCCGCGUGAGUGGUGAAGGCCUUAGGGUUGUAAAGCUCUUUCACCGAUGAAGAUAAUGACGGUAGUCGGAGAAGAAGCCCCGGCUAACUUCGUGCUAGCCGCCGCCGUAAUAC
rnacentral:rRNA from 1 species